rnacentral:rRNA from 1 species
UACGGGGGGGGCAAGCGUUGUUCGGAAUUACUGGGCGUAAAGGGCUCGUAGGCGGCCAACUAAGUCAGACGUGAAAUCCCUCGGCUUAACCGGGGAACUGCAUCUGAUACUGGAUGGCUUGAGUUCGGGAGAGGGAUGCGGAAUUCCAGGUGUAGCGGUGAAAUGCGUAGAUAUCAGGAGGAACACCGGUGGUGUAAACGGCUUUCUGGACCAUAACUGACGCUGAGGCACGAAAGCGUGGGUAGCAAACAGG